ensembl:lncRNA
GUAAAGCUUUUCUUUUUUUAAAAAAAGCUGAAAAGGGGCCACUCCGUGGCCGAGUGGUUAAGUUCACGUGCUCUGCUGCGGCGGCCCAGGGUUCGGAUCCUGGGUGCGGACAUGGCACCACUCGUCAGGCCACAUUGAGGCGGCGUCCCACAUCCCACAACUAGAAAGACCUGCAACUAAGAUAUACAACUGUGUACAGGGCGGGUUUGGGGAGAUAUGGCUACAGUUGUUAGCCCAGGUGCCAAUCCUUAAAAAAAAAAAAAAAUGCUAAAAUGGGGGGCUGGCCUUGCGGCCGAGUGGUUAAGUUCACACGCUCUGCUUUGGAGGCCCAGGGUUUCGCCGGUUCGAAUCCUGGGCAUGGACAUGGCACUGCUCAUCAGGCCAUGCUGAGGUGGCGUCCUACAUGCCACAACUAGAAGGACUGACAACUAAAAUAUACAACUAUGUACUGGGGGGCUUUGGGAGAAAAAGGAAAAAUAAAAUCUUUAAAAAUAAAAGCUAAAAAGGACAAAUCUGAAAUUAAGAAUUCAUUGCAAGAGUUUAACAGCAGAAUGGACACAGCAGAAGAUAUGAUUAGUGCUUGAAGGUAGGUCAGCAGAAAAAAUCCAAACUGAAGCAAAGAGACUAAAAAGAAUGCAAAAACAAAACAACAAAAAAACAAAAGUACAACAAGAAGAGUGUAAGAGACCCGUGGAAUGCAGUCUAAAGAUAUGUGUAAUUGAAGUCCCAGAUGGAAAGGGAACGGGGCAGAAGCAACAUUAGAUGAAGUAAUGGCUGAGAAUUUCCUGCCACUGUUGACAGACAUCAACCCACAGAUUCAUAAACUUAGUGAACGCUAUAUGGAAUAAAAACAAACCACACCUGAGAAUGUCAUUAUCAAACGGCUGAAGACCAAGACAGAAAAUCCUGAAGAUGCCAGAGAGGACACACAACCUUUGAAGGGGCGAUAAUGAAACCAAAGGCUGACUUUUCAGGAGAAACGUCGGAAACCAGGAGACAGGGAAAUCUUCACAGUGCUGGAAAAAAAAGUCUGCCAACCUAGAGUUCCAGACUUAGUGAAAAUAUUCUCAAAAGCAAAGGUAAAAGAAAGGCAUUUUCAGACAGACAAAAGCUGAGAGAAUUUGGCACUAGCAGAUCUGUGCUACGAAAAAUACUAAAGGAACUACUUCAGCGUAAGGAAAAUGACCCCAGGUGGAAGUGUAGAACUGGAAGGAAGAAUGGAGAACAAGGGAUGGGCUAACUAUGUAGGCAAAUGUAAAAGAAUAUUGACCGAACAAUAGGGUCUUGAAGACAUAAACUGCUAUGAAUUAUAUCAUGUAGAAUUUAUAACAGUGGUUAUAUAUUAUAAAUAUGUAACAGUGGUGAAAGGGUAGACGGAAGCUAAGUGGAGUUAGGUGCUUAUAUGAUCCUUACAUUAUUUGGCAAGUGGUAAAAGUACUAAUUUAAGAAAACUAUAAUAAAUCAUAGGUAAAUAUUGUAAUCACUGGCGUAACGACUAAGAUAGAAGAAUAAAAACCUAAGAUUCAAGGGGAAAAUGGAAUUUAAAAAGAAUCCAAAGAUUCCAAAAGAAAGCAGGACAAGCGGGGCCGGCUCUGUGGCCGAGUGGUUAAGUUCGCGCGCUCCGCUGCAGGCGGCCCAGUGUUUCAUUGGUUCGAAUCCUGGGCGCGAACAUGGCACUGCUCGUCAAACCACGUUGAGGCAGCAUCCCACAUGCCACAACUAGAAGGACCCACAACAAGAAUAUACAACUAUGUACCGGGAGGCUUUGGGGAGAAAAAGGAAAAAGUAAAAUCUUAAAAAAAAAAAAAAGCAGGACAAGAGGACUAAAGGAACAAAGGACAAACUGGAAAAACAGCAGAAGGUUAGCUAUAAACCCUACACCAUUAGCAAUUAUAUUAAAUGUAAGUGGGCUAAACAAUCCACUAAAAGUCAGUGUCAAACUGGAUAAAAAUAAAAUCAAAACCCAAUAUAUGACUUUUAUAAGAAGCAGACUAUAAGGACACGGAAAGGUUGAAAUUAAAAGAUGGGAUAGUGAAUCCACUGACAGUAAACAAAAGAAAGCAGAUGUAACCAUUUCUCAUAUGAAGCAAGCUUUGAGGCAAGAAGUAUUACUAG